GCGGGCUUCUAUACAUGCAGUCGAGCGAAUGGAUUAAGAGCUUGCUCUUAUGAAGUUAGCGGCGGACGGGUGAGUAACACGUGGGUAACCUGCCCAUAAGACUGGGAUAACUCCGGGAAACCGGGGCUAAUACCGGAUAACAUUUUGAACUGCAUGGUUCGAAAUUGAAAGGCGGCUUCGGCUGUCACUUAUGGAUGGACCCGCGUCGCAUUAGCUAGUUGGUGAGGUAACGGCUCACCAAGGCAACGAUGCGUAGCCGACCUGAGAGGGUGAUCGGCCACACUGGGACUGAGACACGGCCCAGACUCCUACGGGAGGCAGCAGUAGGGAAUCUUCCGCAAUGGACGAAAGUCUGACGGAGCAACGCCGCGUGAGUGAUGAAGGCUUUCGGGUCGUAAAACUCUGUUGUUAGGGAAGAACAAGUGCUAGUUGAAUAAGCUGGCACCUUGACGGUACCUAACCAGAAAGCCACGGCUAACUACGUGCCAGCAGCCGCGGUAAUACGUAGGUGGCAAGCGUUAUCCGGAAUUAUUGGGCGUAAAGCGCGCGCAGGUGGUUUCUUAAGUCUGAUGUGAAAGCCCACGGCUCAACCGUGGAGGGUCAUUGGAAACUGGGAGACUUGAGUGCAGAAGAGGAAAGUGGAAUUCCAUGUGUAGCGGUGAAAUGCGUAGAGAUAUGGAGGAACACCAGUGGCGAAGGCGACUUUCUGGUCUGUAACUGACACUGAGGCGCGAAAGCGUGGGGAGCAAACAGGAUUA
rnacentral:rRNA from 1 species